rnacentral:sRNA from 1 species
UCCAAUAGAUGACGCGAAGCUCUUGGC